rnacentral:rRNA from 1 species
GUAAUGGCGAACGAACAGGGAUCAGCUUGGGUUGGAAACCGGGGCUUCUGCCUUGGAUUGUGGCCUUUACACAUACUACCAACGGCGGCGCKAGCGUAAGCCUCUUGGAACAGAGCGUCUACGUGGGUGAGAAUCCUGUGUUUCGCUUGAUGCCCGCCGUGCACGGUACUUGCUCUCAGAGUCACGCUCCUCGGAAUUGGAGCGUAAAUUGGGUGGUAAAUUUCAUCUAAAGCUAAAUACAGGCUCGAGACCGAUAGCAAACAAGUACCAUGAGGGAAAGAUGAAAAGGACUUUGAAAAGAGAGUUAAAAGUGCUUGAAAUCGCUGAACUGGAAGCGAAUGGAACUAGUGCUCUGGUUGAGAGUGCUGUAAAUGGCUGCGACAUCUGGGCUCUGGAACGCAAGUCCUUUGUCUGGCUUGAAGUAGUCGCUUGCAAUGUGUCUCAGCUUGAACAUCAACUUCUAUGCAUACGUGAGGAUGGCCCUUGGCUCAUGCUGUGUUGCUGUGGCGAUACUCUUGUGCUUCUGGGGAUUCAGGUGUGUGUGGAUUGUUGAUCAAUUAGUUCCAUUCGACCCGUCUUGAAACACGGACCAAGGAGUCUAGCACUUGUGCAAGUUNUCAGGUGUCAAACCUCUGUGCGCAAUGAAGGUGACUGCUGGGAUUUUUUGCACCAGCAACCGACCAAUCAAUUGGGAGAAGUUUGAGUAAGAGCAUGUGUGUUAGGACCCGAAA